rnacentral:rRNA from 1 species
UACGGGAGGCAGCAGUGGGGAAUAUUGCACAAUGGGCGCAAGCCUGAUGCAGCCAUGCCGCGUGUAUGAAGAAGGCCUUCGGGUUGUAAAGUACUUUCAGUCGUGAGGAAGGUGUUAAGGUUAAUAACCUUAGCAAUUGACGUUAGCGACAGAAGAAGCACCGGCUAACUCCGUGCCAGCAGCCGCGGUAAUACGGAGGGUGCGAGCGUUAAUCGGAAUUACUGGGCGUAAAGGGCACGCAGGCGGUUAAUUAAGUUGGAUGUGAAAUCCCCGGGCUUAACCUGGGAAUGGCAUUCAAGACUGGUUAGCUAGAGUCUUGUAGAGGGGGUUAGAAUUCCAUGUGUAGCGGUGAAAUGCGUAGAGAUGUGGAGGAAUACCGGUGGCGAAGGCGGCCCCUGGGACAAAGACUGACGCUCAUGUGCGAAAGCUGGGGAGCAAAC